ACAAAAAUAAAUGCGGUGAACUUUCAGUGAUAUUGCACCAUAUAAAAAGGUUAUUAAAAAUGUAUUUGAAGGACCAGCUUUGUCAAUACUAAUGCUCUGAAGGAGCAGAGUUUUUCCCAGCUCAAGCCCUGAUGCACUGACUUAGUGAGGGAGCGAUGACUGCAAUAAUGGAUUUGAGUAGCUUACGUUAGAUAAGUGUUUUCAGACUUCAUAUGCAGAGAAUUGUUUUCUGCUUUAGACGGGAUGCUCAGUAAUAACAUAUUUUAAAAGGAAUAUUGACAGCUAGCUAUUGGUUCAGCUCUGGAAAUGUGUUUGCAUGUGGUGGUGGUGAUAGAGUGUAGAGGAAUGAGAGAUUACUGAUAGGAAUGUGAAUGACAUCAGUUUAUUUGUUGAUUUUUAUUUCUGUACUAAUCUGAGGGUUUUCAGAGAUGAUCUGCACAUUCCCUAAAUAUGACCAUACCAAGUACAUGCAAGCAUACAUAAUUAGCUUUGCUUUGAGAAACAGGUCUGAUCUUUUAUUUUCUAUUCAGAAAUCUUCAACCUGGCUGCUCGUUUUUGCACUCAUUAACUGCCGGAGCAGGAUUCCUACUGUGAGUUUCUACGCAUGUCUUUAAGGACCAAAUGACCAAAUGUCAAUCUGGUUUUAUUGCUGUAAAUGGCCCCAGCAUAAUGAGACAGCAAGGAAAGGUCUUUUAAAUUCCAACUUCCAGCCAUUUAAGAUGAUGAUGAGAGAGGUAAGCAUAUAUUUUUUAAUUAUCGCUGUUUUUUUCUCGAUCAUGCUCCCUUUGAAGAAUGCCGACAGCACUUUCCUCCUCUGUGGUACAUGCAGCACACUGGUUUUGUCUUUGAGUACCGCAGCUGCUGUGCUCACUUUAGUGUCUGUGGAAAGCUGGUGCAGUUAUUUUAUUUUCAGAGCUCUUGCCCUAAGGAUGGUAGGUCCAUCUCCACUGGGACUUUAAUACCUUACUGAGAGCAGCAGUAGAGACAUGUAGUAGCAGCAAAACACAAUAGAGGUUCAGGAGAACAACAAGGUAGCACGCAACCAGUUUCCAUAUGGCUUUUUGCUGUUACUGUUGUGCUUUUCAGACGUGGCUCCUUGUUAUUGUUUGCUUGUUUGCUUGUUUGUUUCUAUCAGUACUUAAGCAGGAGAUGGACUUCUUGUGCAGGCACACACCAGCAGGAUGGCCUGUCCUGGGGAUGACCUUCCCCCAUUUGCAGGUGGGCGUACCGGCAGUCAGGCUGAGCGUGAAAAAGGGCACACAGGACCAACGGAGGGGUCCUUUACAAGGUAAAGGAUUUUUUUUCAGUUCUCCAGAUUGUAACACCUCAGAGAGAUCUGUCACACACCCUGAGCACUGCAGUCCCGGUGCCGCUGUAGAAUGCCUCCGCGGCGCAGCGCUGUGUACCGUCACAACACCGUUUUCCAGGGCACCCUGCGCGCACGGCCGGGAUGUCACACCUGGCCUGGAGGUUCCCACCGGACGAAGGGCGGCGCUGCGGGCUCACACUGGGCCGGCUGCCGGCGGGCCGCGGGCUCCUCCCGGCGGCGGCCGCUCCGCAGGGAAAUGCAUACCCAGUUGCUCUGUCCAGCAGCAGGAGGCCUCACACAAGAAGAGUCUGUUUUCUUCAUGAGAGCACAAUUUUUCUAAAUCUGCAAAGUGCCGGGGGCCAGCUGCUCUAAACAGAGCUGAUGAACACAUCUGUGGAAAUGUCAGGGUGGUUAGGCAAACCUAAUACUGCUAAACCACCACUGACAGGAGCCCGUAUCUCAUCCAGCCCUUCAUACUGCUGCUGCAACAACUCAGGCCUCUGAUCCAGGGUUCAAUUUCCUUUUGGCCAAGAAAGAGAACCUAGAUGAAGAUGUAAUGCAGCUGGACAAUUAGCCACUACAAAUAGUUUGCUGAGGCUCUGGGCAAUACGGAGACCUCUGUAAACAUCAGAAUUACAGACAAUGUGCAUUCAGUCUGUGUAGUUUGCUUAAUUCUCAACGCUGUGUUAAACGAUUUACCCAAGCUGCUUUUUAAUAAACAUACCUGACCCAAGUAUAUUCUCCAGCCAUCAAGAAUCACCAAACUUCUAAAUACAGUUGUCCACCAAUGCCCACAGAGUUUAAGUUGAAAAUAAAAUCCUAAAAUAA